GUGAAUCAUCGAAUCUUUGAACGCAAAUUGCACUCUCCUCGGAGAGUAUGCCUGUUUGAGGGUCAGCCUAUAAAAAAUCGACAUCGUUGCUGUUUCGCGAUUGCGUUCGUCGGAGAUUGGGUCAUCUUAAAUCCUUUUGAUUUAAGCGACUUAAAAUUUUCUUUUGUUUCCAUGAACGUAUAUGAGCUCUAUUUCUUUACACGUUUAAGUUAUCGAUUUUUACUAGACAUUACCAUCAUAUCGGAUC
rnacentral:misc_RNA from 1 species